GAUAAACGCUGGCGGCGUGCAUGAGACAUGCAAGUCGAACGAGUGCUCGGGUUCGCUCGAGUGCUAGUGGCGGACGGCUGAGUAACGCGUAGGUGACCUGCCCCGAAGUGGGGAAUAACUGCCCGAAAGGGUGGCUAAUACCGCAUGUGGUCGCACGUUCGCUCGUGCGAGUAAAGCCGCAAGGCGCUUCGGGAGGGGCCUGCGUCCGAUUAGCUCGUUGGUGGGGUAACGGCUCACCAAGGCGACGAUCGGUAGGUGGUCUGAGAGGACGAUCACCCAGACUGGGACUGAGACACGGCCCAGACUCCUACGGGAGGCAGCAGUCUGGAAUUUUGCUCUAUGGGGGAAACCCUGAAGCAGCAACGCCGCGUGGGGGAUGAAGGCCUUCGGGUUGUAAACCACUUUUGUCAGGGACGAUGAUGACGGUACCUGGCGAAUAAGCCACGGCUAACUACGUGCCAGCAGCCGCAGUAAUAC
rnacentral:rRNA from 1 species